AAAAAUUAUAUCAAAUCUUUCUAUAUACAAUUAAAAUUGUGAUUUACAAAUGGAAGAGGGCCAGAUACAUGAUCAAUUCUGAAAACCUUAAAACUAUUUUUAUAAAAAUCUAAAUCUAAAAAAUGAUAUAAUCUAAAUCUCCAUUACAAUCAAAUCUAAAAAUCCUAAAAUACAUCAAGUUUAUUAAAUUACAUACCUAAUUUCUAAUCUAUAAAUACACAAAAAUCAGAUAAAGAAAGGGGACAAAAAUUAAACCCUAAAAAACUUUUCUACUGCAACUACA
rnacentral:lncRNA from 1 species